rnacentral:lncRNA from 1 species
CUCAACCCAUGUUUUUCUAUUGCUUCUUUUGAGUUCUUACAGGAGGCCAAGACAAUCAUAAAAAUGCUUGAUUUGAAGGUUGCUUAUAAAAUCAACAAUGUCAUAAGUCAUAUGUGUAACACCCCGAACUCGAAGGUAUUUUUAUUUUAAGAAAAUUUUCAAUUAGUUCAAGAUUUAAUUUUUUAGAAAGUAAAGAUGUUAAAGGGGGAGAAAGAAGAUUUGAAAAUGUAAUAAUAUAAUAAUACAUAUUUAUUCAUUUUUAUAAAAUUCAUUAUUAUUAAAUAAAAUAAAAGAAAAGAAAAGGAAAAGAUUUCCCUUCUUCUUCCCCGUGCGCCGCCCCCCCUGUUUUUUUCUUUUCUUUUCUUUCGAUUUUCCUUUCUUCUUCUUCUUCUUCUUUCCCUAACCAACCUCCGAUUGACCACCAAAUUUCUUUUCUUUUCUGUUCUCGUUUGUCUUCAACAAUCGUGCCUCAAGUCGUUGCUGUCACCGUUUGUCUCUCCGUCCUCCGGUCAAAACCGAAUCGAACUCGCCAGCCGUUCAUCCUCUUCGGCGUUCGGUCUUCAAUCGCGAAGUGCAGUCGGUGAUUCGUCCUAUUCGCGCCCCUCUUUCCAUCGGCAAAGCCGUUGCCGUGCACAUGUGCCACAACUGAGUCGUUCGCUGUUCGUGAAGUCCCAACUUUCGUGCCUGUUUCGUCCGCGCCGGUCUCCGUCCGCGUCAGUUCGCCGGUCCAUCGUGAGGCAGCGCGCACGUCUCCUUCCAGCUGCGCGUUUCCUCUCCUUUCAGUCGCGUGUGACUCUCUACUAGCCGCUGUUUUAUCGUAAGAUUUUAGUAGUGAAAGAGUUGUGAAAUUUUGUAGAUUGUUCCAUAGUUAUGGUUCUUGGGAUUUAAUGUUGAAAUUGUUAAUUGAUUUUUGAAUGUAUUGAAGGUAGCGUUUGAGUUACUUGGGUUCACAACAAACAAUUCAUUAGUUGAACUAGUUUAGUAAAUAUUUGGGUAAGCUGUGAAAAAUCACAUUCGGUUGAUUUUAAAUGAAUGAUGCGUUGGAGAGAGAUAUUGAGAAAUUGUUUAGGUUCGUUCUUCGGAGACUUCAACGUGAGGGUUUAUCUACUAUUGGACUCAACCACCGUUAUAUACAUAUGUAUUGAUGUAGACUGGUGUUGAAUGUAUACUGUAAAUGACCGAAAAUAUUGUAUAUACAUAAUUUGACGUGGACUUGAUGUUGAAUGCAUAUG